CUUCUUGUGGUGUAAUUUAACACAUAAUCUUUUCGUGAUUAAGAAAGUUUUGCUUUGGAAGU
rnacentral:tRNA from 1 species